GACGAACGCUGGCGGCGUGCCUAAUACAUGCAAGUCGAGCGAGUCUGCCUUGAAGAUCGGAGUGCUUGCACUCUGUGAAACAAGAUACAGGCUAGCGGCGGACGGGUGAGUAACACGUGGGUAACCUGUCCAAGAGAUCGGGAUAACACCUGGAAACAGAUGCUAAUACCGGAUAACAACAGAUGAUGCCUAUCAACUGUUUAAAAGAUGGUUCUGCUAUCACUCUUGGAUGGACCUGCGGUGCAUUAGCUAGUUGGUAGGGUAACGGCCUACCAAGGCGAUGAUGCAUAGCCGAGUUGAGAGACUGAUCGGCCACAUUGGGACUGAGACACGGCCCAAACUCCUACGGGAGGCAGCAGUAGGGAAUCUUCCACAAUGGACGCAAGUCUGAUGGAGCAACGCCGCGUGAGUGAAGAAGGGUUUCGGCUCGUAAAGCUCUGUUGUUGGUGAAGAAGGACAGGGGUAGUAACUGACCUUUGUUUGACGGUAAUCAAUUAGAAAGUCACGGCUAACUACGUG
rnacentral:rRNA from 1 species